ensembl:lncRNA
GAGGAGAAGGAAACGUUAAACAUUAACUGUGUGCGCCGAUACACUGUAGGUGUGUUCAGUUACCCGCACACACCGAUCUGCACCGGGAGCAAAGCGUGGCCGUGAGUCCGUCUUCGGUCUGGGGUUCGCAGCAGAGAAGCAGUCGGUCAAAGGUCGACUCGCUCAGCGUGGACUUUGGCGCUGUCGCAGGCGAAAAAACAUCAAAACAGAUCUCACCUGGCGUUUGCUGAAUGAUCAGGUUAUCAGAUUCACUCCUUGUUACCAAGGUAACAACCUGAACUGAGCCCAAAAGAAGUCCUUCGUUCUCCAAAUGAACUUUUGAAUCCACAAUGGGAAACAAACCACCAACAGCAGCCUCGUCAGUUUGUAUCCGGUGCUGAGAAGAAGUUAAUAGAUGAUUUGUCUGCUUUUACCAUGUGGUCAUCCAAAAGGGUGAUGGGUAUGUACCACCUCUUUAGCCUCUUUAGCCUCUUUAGCUCGUCAGAGUGAAGGUCACAUUUCAUAAAGCAAAAGCGCUGCUGAGUAAAUGAAAAUAUAACUUGUCUGGUCUUGUUACUAAUUCUAACUUUCACUACUAAUUCAAC